rnacentral:rRNA from 1 species
UACGAAGGGGGCGAGCGUUGUUCGGAAUUACUGGGCGUAAAGGGCGCGUAGGCGGCCGAUCAAGUCAGAUGUGAAAGUCCUGGGCUUAACCUGGGGACUGCAUUUGAUACUGAUUGGCUUGAAUUCGGGAGAGGAUAGCGGAAUUCCCAGUGUAGAGGUGAAAUUCGUAGAUAUUGGGAAGAACACCGGUGGCGAAGGCGGCUAUCUGGACCGACAUUGACGCUGAGGCGCGAAAGCUAGGGGAGCGAACAGG